CCAAUAGCGUAUAUUAAAGUUGUUGCAGUUAAAAAGCUCGUAGUUGAAUUUCGGGAUCAAUAUUUCGGUCAUGCCGUUGGUAUGCACUGUUAUAAUUGAUUUCUCACCUUCUAAAGAACCGUAAUGCCAUUAAUUUGGUGUUACGGGGAAUUAGGACUGUUACCUUGAAAAAAUUAGAGUGUUUAAAGCAGGCUCACGCUUGAAUACAUUAGCAUGGAAUAAUGAAAUAGGACAUCCGAUUCUAUUUUGUUGGUUUCUAGGAUAGAUGUAAUGAUUAAUAGGGAUAGUUGGGGGCAUUAUUAUUCAAUUGUCAGAGGGGAAAUUCUUGGAUUUAUUGAAAACUAAAUACUGCGAAAGCGUUUGCCAAGGAUGUUUUCAUUAAUAAAAAACGAAAGUUAGGGGAUCGAAGACGAUCAGAUACCGUCGUAGUCUUAACCAUAAACUAUGCCGACUAGGGAUCGGAUGAUGUUAAUUUUUUAAUGACUCAUUCGGCGCCUUACG
rnacentral:rRNA from 1 species